UAAAUUAAAUCAAUGUAUCAUUGCAUCAAAAUGACUUCUUUUGCAACGUGCGUAAUAUUUAUAUGUAUUGCAAUUCAUUUGGCAAUACUACAAAUAGUAGAUUUUGAAAUGAAGCGGAACAAGACAUUUAGAUUCUACACAUUUAUGGCGCCCUGUGAUGAACAAAUUAAAGAAGCCUAUGUUGAAAAUGUUGUGGUACAUCGAGUUGAUGGAGCUUACACUCUUGAUUACGAUUUUCAUUUGAGUGCAGAUGUGAGCGAUUUUAGAACGGAAGUUUCAUUUUCACGUUGUUCAUCACGAGAAGCUCUAGAUUCAUGUGAAACAAUGCCGUCAUUCUCUACGAAUCAUGGGUGUAAAUUUGUUACUGCACAGAAUGCUGCUUGGACACCGCUGGUUAAUUGUUCGACACCUAAACUGCGCUGUCCAACAAAAAAAGGAUUUUAUAAAUAUCGUAAUUGCAAGCUUGAUCUAACGUUAUACAGCUUUAUGCCACUGGGACGCUCAUAUUGGAGAGUGCAAAUUGUAAUGUCCGUUAAAGAAAAAAGGUUGUGCUUCAAAGUCGAAGGUAAUAUAAUUAAUUAAAC